rnacentral:rRNA from 1 species
AAUAGAUACCCAGGUAGUCCACGCCCUAAACGAUGCGAACUGGAUGUUGGUCUCAACUCGGAGAUCAGUGUCGAAGCUAACGCGUUAAGUUCGCCGCCUGGGGAGUACGGUCGCAAGACUGAAACUCAAAGGAAUUGACGGGGGCCCGCACAAGCGGUGGAGUAUGUGGUUUAAUUCGAUGCAACGCGAAGAACCUUACCUGGCCUUGACAUGUCCGGAAUUCUGCAGAGAUGCGGAAGUGCCUUCGGGAAUCGGAACACAGGUGCUGCAUGGCUGUCGUCAGCUCGUGUCGUGAGAUGUUGGGUUAAGUCCCGCAACGAGCGCAACCCUUGUCCUUAGUUGCCAGCGAGUAAUGUCGGGAACUCUAAGGAGACUGCCGGUGACAAACCGGAGGAAGGUGGGGAUGACGUCAAGUCCUCAUGGCCCUUACGGCCAGGGCUACACACGUACUACAAUGGUCGGUACAGAGGGUUGCCAAACCGCAAGGUGGAGCCAAUCCCAGAAAGCCGAUCCCAGUCCGGAUCGGAGU